rnacentral:rRNA from 1 species
GACGAACCGUGCGAACGUUGUUCGGAAUCACUGGGCUUAAAGGGCGCGUAGGCGGCUUGCCAAGUCCGGGGUGAAAUCCUCCAGCUUAACUGGAGAAGUGCCCUGGAUACUGGCGAGCUCGAGCGAGGCAGGGGUUGUGGGAACUUCCGGUGGAGCGGUGAAAUGCGUUGAUAUCGGAAGGAACGCCGGUGGCGAAAGCGCACAACUAGUCCUCUUCUGACGCUGAGGCGCGAAAGCCAGGGGAGCAAACGGG